CUCUCUCUCUUCAACAGCAUCGAAUCUCCUCCAUGAUUUUUCAGAUUGGAGGAAGAAGAAGAACCUUUCUUCAAUGGCUUCCGAACAGUUCACGUUUAGGUAUCGAUACAUCUAGAUGCAAUCCGAGCCACCAAUUUCGUUGCUAUCAUCCACCCAUUCCUUCCGUAGAGGCUCCAAAAUGCGCUGGAUUUUCGAGAAAUUUCCAAAGGCCUGGACAUACAGCUGUCCUGUCCGAUGCCAGUGCCCCAUGCUCUUAUCUUACACCAUCAAAUGCUAGUAUAAACAGGCACGGUUCUAGCCCAGCAGUGUGGAAUGCCAGCAUCAAUGGUGGGUCAGUUUUGUUCGGUUUCACCCGUUUCAGCAGCUUACCUUAAGAUUGAUGGGCUAGGGAUCAACGGAACGUUGGGUCUCCGGCUAUCAAGCCUCCUCUCACUAAAAUAUAUGACGCAUCUGAAUCAUGGGGUCUUUCAGCUUCAUUAGCAUAAUCAUGCUGCCGAUUGCUGGAAAUGUAGCAGAACAGGCUGGUGCAAUCUCCUUUGCUUUUAAGAACAAACUUACAUUUCUCUAGGCAUUGCCUUAGGCUCUGCAAACUCAAAUUGCAAUGUUUGUGGUAAGAUUUUUGUGGGGACUCAGAACCUUGAUUACGAAUCCUCGAAAAGGUAGCUCUAUUUCCAGCAAGUUCCUUGUAUUUGCUUUUCUAAGUUUUUAUAAAAUACUAGUGAAAUGGUAAUUGUAUCUGUUUUUGCUUCCCCAUUUUUGUAUCUUUGUAAUACCCUCUUGCAGUGGAGAGAAGUCGACAGCUGAGUGCAUUGCAGAAGCCGUUGUUGACAACCGGGCUGAAUU